GAAGGCGUAGGCGUUGUCGGAGCUCCACUGGCGGCACGGCUGCUGCAGGGCGACAAGCUCGGCGACCCGACGGUGGCGGAACGAAGGGGCGACUGGGCGAGAGGGUCGUGGCUGGGGGGGACUGGGAGCGAGCUCCUCACCGGCGACUGGCUCUGGUCUGGGCGAUGACGGGCGGCGAGGGGCGCCGCUAGGUCGUCGACUCAUCGGAGAAGGGAGGGAUUUCUGCCCUGGAGUGGGGGCGGCGGCUGCAGGGAGGGGGGGGAAGGGUUACGGGCUGGAUUUCAAAUGGGGAGUCCCGAU
rnacentral:lncRNA from 1 species